rnacentral:rRNA from 1 species
CCUACGGGUGGCAGCAGUGAGGAAUAUUGGUCAAUGGACGAGAGUCUGAACCAGCCAAGUAGCGUGAAGGAUGCCUGCCCUAUGGGUUGUAAACUUCUUUUAUAUGGGAAUAAAAUGUUCCACGUGUGGGAUUUUGUCUGUACCAUAUGAAUAAGGAUCGGCUAACUCCGUUCCAGCAGCCGCGGUAAUACGGAGGAUCCGAGCGUUAUCCGGAUUUAUUGGGUUUAACGGGAGCGUAGGUGGAUUGUUAAGUCAGUUGUGAAAGUUUGCGGCUGAACCGUAAAAUUGCAGUUGAAACUGGCAGUCUUGAGUACAGGAGAGGUGGGCGGAAUUCGUGGUGUAGCGGUGAAAUGCUUAGAUAUCACGAAGAACUCCGAUUGCGAAGGCAGCUCACUGGACUGCAACUGACACUGAGGCUCGAAAGUGUGGGUAGCAAACAGGAUUAGAUACCCGUGUAGUC